rnacentral:rRNA from 1 species
GACGAACGCUGGCGGCGUGCCUAAUACAUGCAAGUCGAGCGAGCGGAACUAACAGAUUUACUUCGGUAAUGACGUUAGGAAAGCGAGCGGCGGAUGGGUGAGUAACACGUGGGGAACCUGCCCCAUAGUCUGGGAUACCACUUGGAAACAGGUGCUAAUACCGGAUAAGAAAGCAGAUCGCAUGAUCAGCUUUUAAAAGGCGGCGUAAGCUGUCGCUAUGGGAUGGCCCCGCGGUGCAUUAGCUAGUUGGUAAGGUAAAGGCUUACCAAGGCGAUGAUGCAUAGCCGAGUUGAGAGACUGAUCGGCCACAUUGGGACUGAGACACGGCCCAAACUCCUACGGGAGGCAGCAGUAGGGAAUCUUCCACAAUGGACGCAAGUCUGAUGGAGCAACGCCGCGUGAGUGAAGAAGGUUUUCGGAUCGUAAAGCUCUGUUGUUGGUGAAGAAGGAUAGAGGUAGUAACUGGCCUUUAUUUGACGGUAAUCAACCAGAAAGUCACGGCUAACUACGUGCCAGCAGCCGCGGUAAUACGUAGGUGGCAAGCGUUGUCCGGAUUUAUUGGGCGUAAAGCGAGCGCAGGCGGAAGAAUAAGUCUGAUGUGAAAGCCCUCGGCUUAACCGAGGAACUGCAUCGGACACUGUUUUUCUUGAGUGCAGAAGAGGAGAGUGGAACUCCAUGUGUAGCGGUGGAAUGCGUAGAUAUAUGGAAGAACACCAGUGGCGAAGGCGGCUCUCUGGUCUGCAACUGACGCUGAGGCUCGAAAGCAUGGGUAGCGAACAGG